GAUGAACGCUGGCGGCGUGCCUAAUACAUGCAAGUCGAGCGAACAGACGAGGAGCUUGCUCCUCUGACGUUAGCGGCGGACGGGUGAGUAACACGUGGAUAACCUACCUAUAAGACUGGGAUAACUUCGGGAAACCGGAGCUAAUACCGGAUAAUAUAUUGAACCGCAUGGUUCAAUAGUGAAAGACGGUUUUGCUCUCACUUAUAGAUGGAUCCGCGCCGCAUUAGCUAGUUGGUAAGGUAACGGCUUACCAAGGCAACGAUGCGUAGCCGACCUGAGAGGGUGAUCGGCCACACUGGAACUGAGACACGGUCCAGACUCCUACGGGAGGCAGCAGUAGGGAAUCUUCCGCAAUGGGCGAAAGCCUGACGGAGCAAAGCCGCGUGAGUGAUGAAGGUCUUCGGAUCGUAAAACUCUGUUAUUAGGGAAGAACAAAUGUGUAAGUAACUAUGCACGUCUUGACGGUACCUAAUCAGAAAGCCACGGCUAACUACGUG
rnacentral:rRNA from 1 species